rnacentral:rRNA from 1 species
GACGAAUGCUGGCUGCGUGCUUAACACAUGCAAGUCGAACGGUGAACCAGGGCUUGCCCUGGGGAUCAGUGGCGAACGGGUGAGUAACACGUGGGCAACCUGCCCCUCACUCUGGGAUAACUCCGGGAAACCGGGGCUAAUACCGGAUACGACCUGGUGCGACAUCACACCAGGUGGAAAGAACUUCGGUGAGGGAUGGGCCCGCGGCCUAUCAGCUAGUUGGUGGGGUAACGGCCCACCAAGGCGACGACGGGUAGCCGGCCUGAGAGGGCGACCGGCCACACUGGGACUGAGACACGGCCCAGACUCCUACGGGAGGCAGCAGUGGGGAAUAUUGCGCAAUGGGCGAAAGCCUGACGCAGCGACGCAGCGUGAGGGACGACGGCCUUCGGGUUGUAAACCUCUUUCAGCGGGGACGAAGCGACAGUGACGGUACCCGCAGAAGAAGCACCGGCUAACUACGUGCCAGCCGCCGCAGUAAAAC